UACGAAGGGGGCUAGCGUUGUUCGGAUUUACUGGGCGUAAAGCGCACGUAGGCGGAUCGAUCAGUCAGGGGUGAAAUCCCAGGGCUCAACCCUGGAACUGCCUUUGAUACUGUCGAUCUGGAGUAUGGAAGAGGUGAGUGGAAUUCCGAGUGUAGAGGUGAAAUUCGUAGAUAUCGGAGGAACACCAGUGGCGAAGGCGGCUCACUGGUCCAUUACUGACGCUGAGGUGCGAAAGCCAGGGGAGCAAACGGG
rnacentral:rRNA from 1 species